GUUCUUGCUCCGACAGAACAUAUACUAAAAUUGGAACGACACAAAAAAGAUUACCAUGACCCCUGUGCAAAGAUGACACGAAAAAUAGUGGGGCGUUCCACAUUUUU